rnacentral:tRNA from 1 species
UCCCUGAUAGUCUAGUGGUUAGGAUUCAGCUCUUUUACUGCUGCAGCCUGGGUUCAAUUCCUGGUUUGGGAA